AACUUUAUGCAGCUUCCAUUUGGCUCUGGACACUUGAGCAACUGAGUGUCUGACACAUGUACAGAGCCCACAAGCUGCCAUGAGCUAUUUCUACAUGUAACUAGGUGACUACGCCUUGCAGCUUCCCCUACGUUAUAGGCUUUUUAACUUCAUUAUGUGAUCAGGCAUGUUGCCAACUUUGAAGGCCAUUCCACACAUCUGAGUGAUCUGGCUUGCCGUCCAGGUGAUUUAAGUGCCAAUCUUGAUAAAGGUCCGCAUAAGGACCGAAACGUCGAUGAAAUACGGCAUCAACAGUGAACCCGAAUAAAAAUAUACUGAAUUUACAAGUGACUUCAGAGACUAAUUUCUGGGCGUGAGUGCACCUUCCACCUAGGUGGUUGUUGUGGUAUAUAUAUAUAUAUAUAUAUAUAUAUAGACAGAUGCAGGUGUCCCUAUAUGAAAGGAACAGGCGGCACUCCUCCGGACUUAAUACAAAAGAAAAGCUGGUGCUUUAUUCAGACGACGUUUCAAGGCCCACCGGCCUUUUCAUCAGGUGCAAUAUGAAUAAAAGAAAGUGAACAUACCUUUUAUAAGAGGACGCUGACAUUAUAAGGAAGUAGGCCACCAACUGUCCCACUUACGCUACAAGAUCAUCGACCAUGUUCCUCCGUCCAUCAGAGGUGGGGACAGAAGUCAUAAAUUACAACAAAAAGAAUCAAAGUGGAUUCAUUUACUGGACACUGGACAUCCUAAAGGACUCAAUGAAAAAGUAGUAUGGAGUAUUUUUUUGUGACUGCCCAUCUCAUAUAUGUUUCCUUAUAGUAGAGUACUCACCUUUAUUUUUACAGUAUACUUCAUCAUGUUUAUUCACUAUAUUUCAUUUUCCGUAAAAUCCAUGAUAUUUAGUUUUUCAAUCACACUGUUAUGUUAUUUACAACUUGUAUAAUUCUUUAUUGAUCAUUGCAUUUACACUAACACAUUGUUUCACUUUUUCUCUUUCCCCCCAUUCCAGGUGCCGCCGGAUACUGUGUACGUAUCUCUCCCCCGUUGUCCGCCUACAGCGCUAUUUGUCAGAUACAGCAACCAGCCGCCGGCGUCCUUAACUACCGGCCCGGCAUGCUUCAGCACGGCCUCCUUAGUUACCGUCCGCUGAUGUCCUUGGUUACGCACCCAACAUGCAACGGUGCUCACUCCGACGUCAGGUUUAGAGCGUCCAUUACGUCACUGUACCGGCGCCACCUGAUCUGGGGCGGGAGAGACACACUGCUGGACCCAGCGUCCUCUUAUAAAAGGUAUGUUC